rnacentral:rRNA from 1 species
UGGGGAAUUGUUCACAAUGGGCGCAAGCCUGAUGACGCAACGCCGCGUGGAGGAUGAAGAUCUUCGGGUCGUAAACUCCUUUCGAUCGAGACGAACGGCUCCCGGGCUAAUCACCGGGAGAGUGACGGUACCGAGAGAAGAAGCCCCGGCUAACUCCGUGCCAGCAGCCGCGGUAAUACGGGGGGGGCAAGCGUUGUUCGGAAUUACUGGGCGUAAAGGGCUCGUAGGCGGCCAACUAAGUCAGACGUGAAAUCCCUCGGCUUAACCGGGGAACUGCGUCUGAUACUGGAUGGCUUGAGGUUGGGAGAGGGAUGCGGAAUUCCAGGUGUAGCGGUGAAAUGCGUAGAUAUCUGGAGGAACACCGGUGGCGAAGGCGGCAUCCUGGACCAAUUCUGACGCUGAGGAGCGAAAGCCAGGGGAGCAAACG